GCAGACCCUAAACUACCAAUACUUGCAUACAGUUUUCACAAUUUUUGCGAAGUGUGUAGUUUAGAGGACAUUUUCGAACUGUGCAGUAUUUUUGAACACCAUUACAUCCUGUGUGCCCUCAGAGUCCAACGCAUAUUAUGAAAAAACUCUACCUUGCACCCACAAUUUAAUGAGGCUUGCAUUCCCAGAAAACAGUUUAGUUAAAGCAAUUGUAAUACAUCCAACAUUGUUGGGACUGGGCAAAGAGACGGUGGGGACGAGUAAAUUAGGUCGGUAUAACAGGAAAAAUGCGGUAGAGAAAUGUUUUGAUAAAGUGUGUGUGAUGGUUUUCUCCACGAUUGUAGUUGAAGCAAUUGUGCGAAAUCUUUCAUCUCAAAAAUCUUAAUAAUGAUACUGUAAGUAAUAUUCUCAAAUUUAAUUAUCUUUCCAGGUAAGUGAAACGAAAGAAGCCGUGUUCAUUGACCUACAAAAGAUUACAACUUCAUUUAUCGCAAUUCGCUCUAAGUCGUAUCCGACAAAGUAUCUGGCUAUCUCAGCAUCAGGAUCUGUUAGUGGUUGUACGAAUACGGGCAGUGAUAAUACGAUGUACAUGUUUACUUUGUUGCCUGCUACUUAAUUUUAUGUAUAUAAACUGUACGAAAAUAUGAUGAAUAAACGUAAU